UAAUUUAUAUAUUUUAGAAUGGACACCAGAAGUAAUUAAAUGUGUAAUGGAAAAGGACAAAGUGAUCGACGAACAAGGUUUAGUCAACAAAGAAAAACUUUUUGCUAAUUAUGAUAAACUCAUUUCCGAUGCGGCCAAGUUGAAGGAAGCAAAAGACAUCUCCACCACAUGUUUUCAGCAAGCCCAAUCAGGAAGCAAUGAUGAAAAGACUAUGACGGCUAUACGGUGCGCAGUACAUGUAGCAGAGCUAUUUGAUAAGCCCGAAUAAAGGAAGAAAGUACAUUUUUUCUCUUGCGUAGUAUUCAUAUAAUAAACUAAUAAGUAAUGCAAUCUCGCGUAUAUGAUUAAAUAUUAAUAAUUCUGAUUUUAUAACUAUACAUUCUCGAAGAUUUUAUAUAAAACCUUCUUGUUUUAUGAAUUGUAAUUAACUUUGUAUGCUUGUAUUCAAUAAAAUAUAAUACUUAA